rnacentral:rRNA from 1 species
GCGAGGGGAGUGAAAAAGAACCUGAAACCGUGUACGUACAAGCAGUGGGAGCCCCACCACUAAGCCAGUGGUGAACUCCACAUCCGCAUCCUUUGCUGAGGAUACGGUUAACGGAGCGAAAGCGACGUUCAACCGCAAAACAAGCAGAGGGGGCUUAGUACCCCGGCGAGGGGAGUGAAAAAGAACCUGAAACCGUGUACGUACAAGCAGUGGGAGCACAGGUUUACCUGACCCCGGCGAGGGGAGUGAAAAAGAACCUGAAACCGUGUACGUACAAGCAGUGGGAGCACCCUUCGGGAUGUGACUGCGUACCUUUUGUAUAAUGGGUCAGCGACUUAUAUUCUGUAGCAAGGUUAACCGUAUAGGGGAGCCGGAGGGAAACCGAGUCUUAAUUGGGCGUUAAGUUGCAGGGUAUAGACCCGAAACCCGGUGAUCUAGCCAUGGGCAGGUUGAAGGUUGGGUAACACUAACUGGAGGACCGAACCGACUAAUGUUGAAAAAUUAGCGGAUGACCUGUGGCUGGGGGUGAAAGGCCAAUCAAACCGGGAGAUAGCUGGUUCUCCCCGAAAGCUAUUUAGGUAGCGCCUCGUGAAUUCAUCUCCGGGGGUAGAGCACUGUUUCGGCUAGGGGGCCAUCCCGGCUUACCAACCCGAUGCAAACUGCGAAUACCGGAGAAUGUUAUCACGGGAGACACACGGCGGGUGCUAACGUCCGUCGUGAAGAGGGAAACAACCCAGACCGCCAGCUAAGGUCCCAAAGUCAUGGUUAAGUGGGAAACGAUGUGGGAAGGCCCAGACAGCCAGGAUGUUGGCUUAGAAGCAGCCAUCAUUUAAAGAAAGCGUAAUAGCUCACUGGUCGAGUCGGCCUGCGCGGAAGAUGUAACGGGGCUAAACCAUGCACCGAAGCUGCGGCAGCGACGCUGAUGCGUUGUUGGGUAGGGGAGCGUUCUGUAAGCCUGCGAAGGUGAUGCGCGGAAGAUGUAACGGGGCUAAACCAUGCACCGAAGCUGCGGCAGCGAACGUAUCACCCAAGACAACUUUACGGAGUUGACGAUUGACGGAGCGAAGCGACGUCAAAGCGUUCAUUAAAGUCGAGUUGGCUUAGGGAUACGUUCGUUGGGUAGGGGAGCGUUCUGUAAGCCUGUGAAGGUGUGUCGUGAGGCAUGCUGGAGGUAUCAGAAGUGCGAAUGCUGACAUAAGUAACGAUAAAGCGGGUGAAAAGCC